rnacentral:rRNA from 1 species
UUAAGUUAGAAAGGGCGCACGGUGGAUGCCUUGGCACUAGGAGCCGAUGAAGGACGGGACGAACACCGAUAUGCUUCGGGGAGCUGUAAGCAAGCUUUGAUCCGGAGAUUUCCGAAUGGGGAAACCCACCACUCGUAAUGGAGUGGUAUCCAUAUCUGAAUACAUAGGAUAUGAGAAGGCAGACCCGGGGAACUGAAACAUCUAAGUACCCGGAGGAAGAGAAAGCAAAUGCGAUUCCCUGAGUAGCGGCGAGCGAAACGGGACCAGCCCAAACCAAGAGGCUUGCCUCUUGGGGUUGUAGGACACUCUGUACGGAGUUACAAAGGAACGAGGUAGAUGAAGAGGUCUGGAAAGGCCCGCCAUAGGAGGUAACAGCCCUGUAGUCAAAACUUCGUUCUCUCCUGAGUGGAUCCUGAGUACGGCGGAACACGUGAAAUUCCGUCGGAAUCCGGGAGGACCAUCUCCCAAGGCUAAAUACUCCCUAGUGACCGAUAGUGAACCAGUACCGUGAGGGAAAGGUGAAAAGCACCCCGGAAGGGGAGUGAAAGAGAUCCUGAAACCGUGUGCCUACAAGUAGUCAGAGCCCGUUAACGGGUGAUGGCGUGCCUUUUGUAGAAUGAACCGGCGAGUUACGAUCCCGUGCAAGGUUAAGCAGAAGAUGCGGAGCCGCAGCGAAAGCGAGUCUGAAUAGGGCGAAUUGAGUACGUGGUCGUAGACCCGAAACCAGGUGAUCUACCCAUGUCCAGGGUGAAGUUCAGGUAACACUGAAUGGAGGCCCGAACCCACGCACGUUGAAAAGUGCGGGGAUGAGGUGUGGGUAGGGGUGAAAUGCCAAUCGAACCUGGAGAUAGCUGGUUCUCUCCGAAAUAGCUUUAGGGCUAGCCUCAAGGUAAGAGUCUCGGAGGUAGAGCACUGAUUGGACUAGGGGCCCCUACCGGGUUACCGAAUUCAGUCAAACUCCGAAUGCCGAUGACUUAUCCUUGGGAGUCAGACUGCGAGUGAUAAGAUCCGUAGUCGAAAGGGAAACAGCCCAGACCGCCAGCUAAGGUCCCAAAGUAUACGUUAAGUGGAAAAGGAUGUGGAGUUGCUUAGACAACCAGGAUGUUGGCUUAGAAGCAGCCACCAUUUAAAGAGUGCGUAAUAGCUCACUGGUCGAGUGACUCUGCGCCGAAAAUGUACCGGGGCUAAACGUAUCACCGAAGCUGCGGACUGUUCUUCGAACAGUGGUAGGAGAGCGUUCUAAGGGCUGUGAAGCAAGACCGGAAGGACUUGUGGAGCGCUUAGAAGUGAGAAUGCCGGUAUGAGUAGCGAAAGAGGGGUGAGAAUCCCCUCCACCGAAUGCCUAAGGUUUCCUGAGGAAGGCUCGUCCGCUCAGGGUUAGUCGGGACCUAAGCCGAGGCCGAAAGGCGUAGGCGAUGGAUAACAGGUUGAUAUUCCUGUACCACCUCCUCACCAUUUGAGCAAUGGGGGGACGCAGGAGGAUAGGGUAAGCGCGGUAUUGGAUAUCCGCGUCCAAGCAGUUAGGCUGGGAAAUAGGCAAAUCCGUUUCCCGUGAAGGCUGAGCUGUGAUGGCGAGCGAAUUAUAGUAGCGAAGUUCCUGAUUCCACACUGCCAAGAAAAGCCUCUAGCGAGGUGAGAGGUGCCCGUACCGCAAACCGACACAGGUAGGCGAGGAGAGAAUCCUAAGGUGAUCGAGAGAACUCUCGUUAAGGAACUCGGCAAAAUGACCCCGUAACUUCGGGAGAAGGGGUGCUCUGUUAGGGUGCAAGCCCGAGAGAGCCGCAGUGAAUAGGCCCAGGCGACUGUUUAGCAAAAACACAGGUCUCUGCGAAGCCGUAAGGCGAAGUAUAGGGGCUGACGCCUGCCCGGUGCUGGAAGGUUAAGAGGAGCGCUUAGCGUAAGCGAAGGUGCGAAUUGAAGCCCCAGUAAACGGCGGCCGUAACUAUAACGGUCCUAAGGUAGCGAAAUUCCUUGUCGGGUAAGUUCCGACCCGCACGAAAGGCGCAACGAUCUGGGCACUGUCUCAACGAGAGACUCGGUGAAAUUAUAGUACCUGUGAAGAUGCAGGUUACCCGCGACAGGACGGAAAGACCCCGUGGAGCUUUACUGCAGCCUGAUAUUGAAUGUUGGUACAGCUUGUACAGGAUAGGUAGGAGCCUUGGAAACCGGAGCGCCAGCUUCGGUGGAGGCAUCGGUGGGAUACUACCCUGGCUGUAUUGACCUUCUAACCCGCCGCCCUUAUCGGGCGGGGAGACAGUGUCAGGUGGGCAGUUUGACUGGGGCGGUCGCCUCCUAAAAGGUAACGGAGGCGCCCAAAGGUUCCCUCAGAAUGGUUGGAAAUCAUUUGCAGAGUGUAAAGGCACAAGGGAGCUUGACUGCGAGACCUACAAGUCGAGCAGGGACGAAAGUCGGGCUUAGUGAUCCGGUGGUUCCGCAUGGAAGGGCCAUCGCUCAACGGAUAAAAGCUACCCCGGGGAUAACAGGCUUAUCUCCCCCAAGAGUCCACAUCGACGGGGAGGUUUGGCACCUCGAUGUCGGCUCAUCGCAUCCUGGGGCUGUAGUCGGUCCCAAGGGUUGGGCUGUUCGCCCAUUAAAGCGGUACGCGAGCUGGGUUCAGAACGUCGUGAGACAGUUCGGUCCCUAUCCGUCGCGGGCGCAGGAAAUUUGAGAGGAGCUGUCCUUAGUACGAGAGGACCGGGAUGGACGCACCGCUGGUGUACCAGUUGUUCUGCCAAGGGCAUCGCUGGGUAGCUAUGUGCGGACGGGAUAAGUGCUGAAAGCAUCUAAGCAUGAAGCCCCCCUCAAGAUGAGAUUUCCCAUUCCGCAAGGAAGUAAGAUCCCUGAAAGAUGAUCAGGUUGAUAGGUCUGAGGUGGAAGUGUGGCGACACAUGGAGCUGACAGAUACUAAUCGAUCGAGGACUUAACCAA